GGACUCCGGUGCCCACCAUGGACAGGCUGUGCUCCAUUCUUCUCCUGCUGACCGUCCCUGCCUGGGUCCUGUCCCAGGUCACCCUGAAGGAGUCUGGCCCUGGGCUGGUGACUCCCACCCAGACCCUCAGGCUGACCUGCUCCUUCUCUGGCUUCUCACUGAGCACAACUAAUAUGGGUGUAGGCUGGAUCCGACAGCCCCCAGGGAAGGGCCUGGAGUGGCUGGCACACAUUUGGUGGAAUGAUGAUAAGUACUACAACUCAGCCCUGAAGAGCCGGCUCACAAUUUCCAAGGACACCAACAACCAGGUGUCCCUCACAAUGACCAGCAUGGACCCUGCAGACACAGCCACAUAUUACUGUGCGAGAAUAGCACAGAGGCUCAGCCUUGAGCACCUCCUGUACAAGAUCAGUGGCUGGGUCUCUGCUCAGUUCUCUCCUAGUUCAGGAAAGAGUGCACUUCCUGUCAGCCUCUCAGGUUUCCCCUUCACCCAGAGCCUGGUGGCCCUGACUUCCUGUUACUUCUUUAAUUCUCCAUCACAUGGCAUUCUUGGCUAUUUAUGCAAGAGAGAUGAUCUGUUCUGUUAA